CAUGCCCGAAAUCUCAGCUACUUGGGAGGCUGAGGCAUGAGAAUCACUUGAACUCAGAAGAAGGUGGAGACUGCAGAGAGCCAAGAUUCCACCGCUGCACUCCAGACUGGCAACACAGCAAGACUGUCGUCCUGCCCCCCUGGAAAAAGACAACUCAAUCAGGGACAGCUACCUGCUCAAUAAUCGUCUUGGAAGGACCAGAAAGUGUGUCCUAUGUGUGGAACUUGGCCAUUGCUCAUCAGAGGCAGUCAGUGUUCUCUCAUGUGUUUGCAUCCAGUUUACCACAUUCUCUCCUCAGCCGUAGAAGUAUAUUUCUCUUCAUUUUUUACAGUGAACAGGAUCUCCUCUCAUGUCACAAACCUCUAAUUUAGUUUACAUCUGUCUCUUCAGCUGAUUAUGAACAGUGGUAGAGCUCCUCCGCGGCCUUUGGAAGCUUCAUUUCAGGUGUGAGGAUACAUUCCAUCAAAUGAAGAUGAUAACAGUCAGUGUUUUUAUUCCAGUUCUGUUUUCUUCAGUGCAGGCAUUGUUAUGCUUUUUAUAGAUUGUUACUUUCUACCAGGGAGAGCCGAAAACUGAUAAGAAAUUCAGAGAAGAAUGUAUUAAAACUUGGCGGUGUUCUCCAAUUUGAUUCAAAUUUCAGCAUAUGUGCCAAAUGCUUUCUACGUUUUGUAGUUUGGGAUAUGGCCAUUUACAGAUUCUGAUGAUCACCUUAUUUCUUAUAUUUGUUUUGAGUUCCUGCU
ensembl:lincRNA